AAGGAUAUCUUUUAAGAGUAUUUUAUAUAUUAUUAACUAUAUAUAUAUAUAUAUAUAUGCUAGUAAUAAAUUGCUGUCUUUUAUGCAAGUGCGACUUCUAGCUGCUCCAAUUGUGCACAAAAUUCAUGCCACUAGGAUUACAGCCAGUGUAUACUCUUAACAUCUUCAGUUGCAGGACUGUGCUCUUAGUUAACUGUACACCAAGUUCUAGUUCGCCGAGCACAUGACGCAAUAUGGUAUAUCACCAGUGAUGCUGAAUCUAGUUUAUAAUCUCUGAUGAUUUAUUCAAGUAUAUGUAUGGUCAAGAGUACAUUGGUCUUAGCUUGAACAGAACAAUCAUAUGGGAAUCUAUUGGUUUAAGUGAGCACCAUGUAUGGCAUUCUUAUAGCUAUAUUGUUUCAUCUCUACUGAUAAUGUUACGCCUGAAAUGUAAAAGGAUGAUGCUGAUGAUGGCAUCGAGUGUGCUGGAUUUUAACAUAACCUCUACUGAUAGUAACACGGUCAGUAUAACACAAAACAGGGGAUGCUCUGUUUUUGCAGAACUUGCUCGAAAUACAUAUAAUAUCAUGAUGCAAACUUUCCAGUUAUGUAUUUUACAGUUUGAGUGUAUUUUUUCUUCGUUAUGCUAAAUCACUGACAUUUGGUGGUAAGUAGUACUGUGGUAUCUUUAAGAAAUGAUUUACGCCUACCCAUGUGGUAUUCUGUUUUUCAUAUGACCUAAGAUUGCUGCAGGAAGAUAGGUGGUAGACGGAGUAAGUUGCAGUGUAUGGAUGAAGGCUUGUAGUUCCUGGUCUGGUUCAGCACCUUCUUGAGAAAAAUUUCUUGAAGAAGUCUUUUUGCUAUUUGAAUUAGACGAUGAAAGAACUAUAGAAUUUUCACAUUCUCUUCCAGAACUCAUUUGGUAACCAUGUAUAAAUUUACAUGUAGCCAUUACAACUUCAUACCAUGUUUGACUUAUCAAUGUAUUAGUUGUUGAAACUGUACAUCUGCAUAUACAUUAAUGAACAUAGUGGAAUAGUGCAUGGCAAUAGUUGUCAUGUUUUCUACACUACGAUGAAUUCCUUAUGAAACUGUACAGCCUUAAUUGCUUUAAGGUUAGGGUCUAAUCUUCUAUUGUUCCUAUAUGGCAGACCGAGACUGGUUUACAUUGUGACAUGGACGAGAGCUCUCAUCCAUGUUUGCCAGUUCUGAGCAACCUAUCUUUAACAUAUAGAUUAAAUUCCCUGCAAAAUUAAACCUCUAACAAUGUCUAAUGGAACUUUUAUGGUUUUGGUUUUGGACUGGUCAAUUCUGAUUUGCAGUAAUGAGUUGUGAAUAUCCCAUCCACUCAGAGACUUGACGAUGCUCGGUCUAAAUUUAGAACCAAUUUAAUGAAGCCCCAUUUGACAUGUAGUUAAACUAGUUGUGUAUGUCUACCUCUGAAUUGAUUUGAAACCCUUGUUCCUGUCUUAAUUAAAGAAAAACAAUUUUUUGAACAAGGAAAUAUUGUGAAAUAAGAACAAUGUAAAUGGGAGGCGGUUGUGCUCUAAAUGGGUGCUGUUGGUAAUCUAGAGUUGGUCUAGAUUUUAAGCCACUCAUCCUCCAUGAAACACUUUAAAUUGGAGAAGAAACUUUUAAGAGGAUCAAAUAUUAUUUGUCAUAGAAUCCUGUCACAUCCCAUGUCAGUCACGUUUGCGCUAAGCAUUGCGUGGAUUAAAAAAUUAAAAUAAAAUGUCAUUCAAGUGAAGAUGGGCACGAUGACCUGCAAUCGCAUUAAAAGGGAUGGUGCGGGAGGAAAGAGGGGCUGCCGUGCCAUUGGGAAGGCAUGCCAUCCCUCUUCCUUGGUUGUUCAAUCUUCACGCUUGUAUUGCGUUGUGUGGAAAAGAGAGGUAGAACAACCUAGAGAGAAUGGAGGAAUUCCAUUAGAGACGUUUGGGGAAGAAGAUGAGAGGGAAGUAGCAGCCAGGGAUAAUUGCCGGAGAAUUAGAAACGGCGAGGAGUUGAAGCAACUGCCCUGGCAGACAGGUAUGCGAAAUGUGGGAGCAUGGACAGGCACAAAAACAAUGUUGAAAAAUUUCUUCAAAGAAAUGUGGUCCCAUGGGAUUUCAGUGGUUGCAGGGUAUUCUCCAAACGGAUUCGUUUUAAAGGCUUUAGGAACUUUCGAGCAAAUGCGAGUGGUAGGUGUAAAGCCAGAUUCUACAACCUUUGCAAUUGUUCUCCCUGCCUGUGCCAAAAUAAAAGCUUUCGAAUAGGCCAUGGAACUCCCUCAACAGGCAUCAAAUGACGACCCCCAAAGCCGGAGGAUCAACUACUUGGCAGACUCUCAUCAAACAAGAUCAAGCUAGGACAAGGACGAUCUCCUCCAGUCCAGCAUCAUUAAGGACGACCUUCUCCAUCUAUCUUCCAGUCCAACAUUUGAAGGAAAGCAUCACCAAAUUGAGCAUCAACCAAGUGUUAGACAAGGUGGCAUCCUAGUCAUCACUCCUCCAAUCGGGUUGGUCCACCUCAGCAUGUUCAGAUUCAAUGUACCUGACUCAUUAAAGAUGGCACAAACUUCGAUGGACCUACCCCGGCUAUCCAUUGGUCGAAUAUUCCAGAGAAUACAUGUGUCCAAAUAAUGCAAUUAUUUCAUUGGUCAAAAUUAAGUUUGUUGUAACAAACCCUAAUUAGGGUUUCAUUGUAAAAUCUUGGCCAUUGAUCUCGAAUUGAUCCAAGCCAUUCAUUGUAUUUGAGGAUGCUAUAUAUGCCCUCACUCAUUUCAUUUUCAAGGGUUAGAGAGAGAGUUUAGAGUGAAGAAAGUUAGAAAAUUAGAGAGAAAUAAGUUAUUGUUGUAGCAAAAUUGAGUAGUGAAGAGAGAAAUUUGAACAAUUGUUGUCCAUUUGGUUAUGAGAUCAAUA